UAAAAUUGCAAAUGGAUCGUCUAACAAGCUGUGAUUUUUCAGUAUACAGUCUGAGUUAAACCUACUCCAUCUGUUACAGUUAUCUACAUUAGUGUGCAUGCAGGAACUUUCAGUAAUGUUUUGGCUUUAUUCAACUGCCAUCUUUGUUUAUUUCCGUCUGGUCGUCUUGCUGUUCGUGAUGGAAAAAGAGCCCUUAUCGAAUACGUAAUACAGCAUGAUUGAAGAUGACUACUGUGACCGGUGAAAAAAUUUAUGGAAAUCAACCUCCUUCCGGAUGUUUUCGUACCAGGUGGAUUCUACGACAGCAUCCAGUAGAUUCCUGUGGCGGAGCAGCUUAAUGUGGUGUUGUUUUUGCGCCACUAUGCAGGAAAAACUACGGCGCAUACCGUAGGUGGUUUUGCGGGGUGGACAAACAAGACCUCAACAAUAACGGUGCGGAUUAGUGCGGAUAAUAUUAUUAAACAAGUGAUUUAAGUUAUACAUAUAUUGAUUCUAAUAAAAAUGAGUAGAACUAAUUUGUUUUUUUUUUCAAUUUUUCAUCUCGAAUGUACGUAUUUUUAAU